AACGCACAUUGCGCCCGCCGGUAUUCUGGCGGGCAUGCCUGUUCGAGCGUCAUUUCAACCCUCGGGCCUGUCCCGGUGUUGGGGCUCCGCGAUUUUCCUGCGGACCCUGAAAAACAGUGGCGGAGCCGCCCAGCUCUCAGCGUAGUAAUUUUUCUCGUUGGGGACGACAGCGGUCGCUUGCCGUUAAACAACCACUAUUUUAUUUGUUUGACCUCGGAUCAGGUAGGAAUACCCGCUGAACUUAA
rnacentral:misc_RNA from 1 species